rnacentral:pre_miRNA from 1 species
GGGGCGAGGCUGGAUCCUGGGCUGUGUCCUGGCGCGCAGUGCUCCCGGCCUGCGCUGUUGGAUUCGCGCUCCCGGGCCGCGCAGGCCCU